UACGGAGGGGGCGAGCGUUAUUCGGAAUUAUUGGGCGUAAAGGGCGCGUAGGCGGCCUAGCAAGUCAAAGGUGAAAUCCCUCGGCUCAACUGAGGAACUGCCUUUGAAACUGCGAGGCUUGAGGCCGGGAGGGGGUAGCGGAAUUCCCAGUGCAGCGGUGAAAUGCGUAGAUAUUGGGAGGAACACCAGUGGCGAAGGCGGCUGCCUGGACCGGUUCUGACGCUGAUGCGCGAAAGCGUGGGUAGCAAACAGG
rnacentral:rRNA from 1 species